rnacentral:lncRNA from 10 species
GCAAGGGCAAGAAGGCAGCAGUAACCGCCAUGUUUGGGAAAAGCUCCAGAAACUCCCCUAGCAAGGCUGGAUCUCUCCAAGCUUCAGAAAGAGGAAGACAACUGAACAGGCAGGGCUCGCAUCUUCUUUAGAGGCGGUGGAGUUGGGGGACAGCUGGUAACAGGAUAGAUAGCAACAACCACCUUGAAGAUAAUGCACGAAGUGUCGGCACUGCACAGUACAUGAAUGAUCUCACUUAACUCCCGUGCAAACCCUAUGCCAUGGCUGCUAUUAUCAUUCACGUUUACAGGAUGAGGAAACUAAUGCUCAUGCAGG